AAGAAGGCAGACUAAAUUUUGGUCCUUUGAUGUCUGCCUUGGGCAUCUUCACAUCAAUAUCUGGAGCAUGAAUUCCCCCCUUGAUAUCUGGAGCUGAUAUGUCUACAUCAGGUGUAUUCAUUUUUCCAUCAACAUCUAAUUCAGGUCCUUUAACUUUUCCUCCUCCAAAUGAUGGCAAAUUAAAUUUUGGUCCUUUGAUGUCUGCCUUGGGCAUCUUCAAAUCAAUAUCUGGAGCAUGAAUUCCCCCCUUGAUAUCUGGAGUUGAUAUGUUUACAUCUGGUGUGUUUACUUUCCCAUCUACAUUUAAUUCAGGGCCUUUAACUUUUCCUCCUCCAAAUGAUGGCAAAUGAAAUUUUGGUCCUUUGAUGUCUGCCUUGGGCAUCUUCAAAUCAAUAUCUGGAGCAUGAACUCCCCCCUUGAUAUCUGGAGCUGAUAUGUCUACAUCAGGUGUAUUCAUUUUUCCAUCAACAUCUAAUUCAGGUCCUUUAACUUUUCCUCCUCCAAAAGAAGGUAGACUAAAUGUUGGCCCUUUGAUGUCUGCUUUGGGCAUCUUCAAGUCAAUAUCUGGAGCAUGAAUUCCCCCUUUGAUAUCUGGAGUUGAUAGGUUUACAUCUGGUGUGUUUACUUUC